GCAGUAUAUGGGGGGCUGUCUGUGCGGUACAGUAUAUUGGGGGAUGUAUGUGCAGCAUAUUUUGGGGGGCAGUGUAUUAUAUUUGUGGCCUGUGUGUUAGAUGUGUACAACCCUAAUUUAAUAAAUACUACGAAACUGCAGCCAUCUCGUCACUUGGAGAAGGAUGAGAAGCGGCCCCCAUCCAGAGGCACACAUCUGCCACCAGAUCCGUCGCUCACUGGAUUCUGUAAUCAACGUCUGCUGUCAUGUUCUCCUAUGGAACACGAAGUACCUGAAGUGGAAUGAAGAAGCCCAUGUUUGAGGCCUGCGCCCUGGCGGGAGCAUUGAAGGGGCAUCUGACAGGUUACACAACGCGUUGCUGAUCUAUCCAGGACGGCUUCAGGAUGGACUAUAAGAAGGAGGUUCAGUCCCGAUUGGGUCCGGCGCAACCUCAGGGAGUACAUAUACAGCGGCCUUGGUUUACGACGACGCACAAUGGCACAAAGAAGAACUAAGAGCAGCGCUCUGGAGACUGAACAACCUCCUGAUGCGGAAAAUGAAUGGAUCGC